CUUGCUGAGCUGGGGGUGAAACAGUAACCUUAGACCAAGAGCGACACCCCACAGAAAAGGGACUUUGCCCGCCCUAACAUGUUAUGUCCAGACUCCUCCUUUCAGGAAAAAAAAUUCCUUCUUUGCUUAACUCAUGGUCUGGAUAGUUCCAUGCCAUUGAACACCAUAGCAGCAGAUAUGCUGUUCUUUCAGAAGACGAGGCUAAAAAUUAUUCUAGGUGCCUUAAAGGGCGUUUGCAGGGAGAGGGGUUUUCCCAAGCAUCAGAAAUGACAGGUUUUGAGUUUAAUCUUAGCUAGUUACGUUAGCCAGUGUUCUCAUAUACGUUUGUGAAUUUAAGCUUUGUAAGUCAAAAGCUAUCAUAAAAAAAGGCCCAUGAUGCAUAGUGUGGGGCAUAUAAAAAGUGAUUUAUCAUCAAUCAUGGGCAUCUAGUUUCCACCCUCUACCAAAGUUUCCUCUAGCAGAACUCAACUUCACAUAUUUUUAUAAACUGGGGACAGGACUCGUUCCAAGAUAUGGUUGAAGGGAAGGUUUUUAUUGUAGGUAUGAAGGAGAGAACAUCCAGAACCAUCUGGAAGAAUCCAGAGCGGAGAGAGAAAGCAGUACACUGACUAUGGACAUGCUCAGACUAGGCCUUGCAAGAAAAGAGCUGGCAAGAAGAGGGGAUGGGGAGGAAAGAGGAGGAGACAAAGAGAGGGCCAAGAGAGGGGCAAAGGAGCUCAACGAUAGCAGGAAUGGCAGGGUUAUGAGGAGAAAUGAGUAGCUGGGGGCGGGGCAAGAUCCUGUGGCGGUAAAGCGUGCACGGUACAGGAGCAGGUAGGAAGAGCUAGGAUGCUAGCAUAGACUCUGAAAUGUGUAACAGGUACUGUGAUCCUGAGGGAGCCUGGAGGCCAGCACGUGCUUUGGUGCUGAUAGGCACCACAGAUGGGCACUUGUCCCUCUGCCAGUGAUAAGGAAAGUGGUUCCUUUGUUAGAGAGGAACAAGCCUUACAAGUUCUGAUGGAAUGCUGGCUUCUGUCUAAUCACCAGAAUGUGGGAGGGUGGACUCUCCUUUGGACCUGACAAUAUUCAUUUCCCAGUUUCAUUCCUUAGACAACUGCUUAUUCAGAUUCUAAAUGUUUUUGCCACAGCAAGUUUCAUUGCACAGUCCCAGUACCUUUUAUUUAUGUGUCUGUCUGUGUCUGUGUCUGUGUCUGUGUCUGUGUCUGUGUCUGUGACUAUGUUCUCUGUGUCUGUGUCUGUGUCGUCUGUGUCUGUCUAUGUUUGUGUCUGCCUCAUGUGUGGGUGCCUGUGGAAACCAGAAGAAGGCAUCUGAUUCUCUGGAGCAGUGGUUACAAGCAAUUGUGAGCUUCCUGAUGUGGGUGGCAGAUCCACUGGAAGAGCAGCAAGUGCUCUUAACUACUGAGCCAUCUGUCUAGCCCUUGCCUAGCAUCUUGCCUUGGGCAGGGAAGUAGCGCUGUGACGAAACACGGUGACCAAAACAAGAGAGGGUUCAUCUGGCUCACGUUUCCAUAUCACUGUUCAUAAUCAAAGGAAGUCAGGGUAGGUACUCAAGCAGGGCAGGAACUGAUGCGGAAGCCAUGGAGGGGUGCUGCUUACUGGUGUAACUGCCAUAGCUUGCUCUGCCUGCUCUCUUGUGGAACCCAGGGCCAUCAGCCCAGGGAUGGCACCACUUCCAGUGGACUGGGCUCUCCACCACCAAUCACUAUUUAGAAAAUGUCCUACAGGCUUGACAACAGCCUGAUCUUUCAUAGAAGCAUUUCUCAAUGAAGGCUUCCUCCUCUGAUGACUCUAACCUGUGUCAAGCUGACAUAAAACUAACCAGGACACAUCUUAUUUCUUCAUUUCCUAGACGCUCUACCAAAAACAUGCUGUAGUUUGGUCAGCCAUGAAUCAUUACUGGUUUAACAGGCAAACUGCAAAUAUCUAUUUGACUUGUGGGUUUUUUUUUUUUUAGUGUGUGUGUGUGUGUGUGUGUGUGUGUGUGUGUGUGCGCGCGCGCGCGCACGCACAUGCAUAUGUGUGUGUCCUGGCACCCACGCAGGCACACAUGGAGGCCAGAGGUGGAUGGUAUGGUGGAGUCUUACUGUCGUUCUCUGCUAUGCUAGAGCUUGCCACUUUGUUUUUAGCUAAACCAAUAGUGAAUGAGCCCCAGAGCUGGAGAUUCAGGGUGAACAUCCUUGCCUGGCUUUUGUUUGAGUGCUGGGAUCUGAACUCAGCUCCUUGUGUAACAAGCACUGCUACUCACUAAGCCAUCUUCACAGCCACUGUAGCGCGCGCUCUCUCUCUCUCUCUCUCCUCUCUCUCUCUCUCUCUCUCUCUCUCUCUCCCUCCUUCCCUCCUUUUCUUCCUUCCUUUUUCUUUUCUGCUUGCUUUCCUUCCUUCCUUCCCUUUUGGUUUGCUUUUCGUUGUUUUUCAUUGUUUUUUGUUUUAUUUUGUUAUUGUUGUUUUUGGUUUGUUUGUUCAUUUUUGAGGCAGGGUUUCUCUGUCUAGUCCUGGCUAUCCUGGAACUCACUCUGUAGACCAGGCUGGCCUUCACCUCAGAGCUCGACCCAUCUCUGCCUCCUGAGUGCUGGGAUUAUAGAUGUUUGCCACCACCACCCAGCUGUAGCUCUUCCUUAAGUCUGAAACUCUAACAUCAUCAGUGUCUGUAGGUUUAUAUUUUAAUUGCUAAUGAUAUUUUAGUGGUCCACAAUCAUCUUUUUUUUUAAAUUGAAGCUGAAUAACAUUAAAAUUUUAUGUGAUUAACUUCGUUUUUAUUGUUGUUGUCGUUGAUGCUGUUCAUUUGUUCAUUGAGCUUCAGCCCAGAGCAUGUUGGGCACCACUUGGCUUUUGUUUUCCAGAUUUAUUUACCGUUGUUACACGCGUGUUUUGCUACAUGCAUGUCUGUGUACUACAUGCAUGCAUUGGACACAGAGGCCAGAAGAGGGUAUCUGCAUCUGAUAGCCAUGCUAGGCUCCUGUCUGCAAGCACACCACAGCCUCAGUAACAGCGUCAGAGCCCCAGGCCUCCCUUUGAGCUGGAUCCUAAUUUGGGCCUGUCACUGGACCUCUUUUAGACUCAACUCUUUAGUGCAAGGGUCGCAGCAGGCAGCCAGUGAACCUAGACCUCUGAGGAGUAAUAGGCACACCUCUGAGGAGACCCCUGGGCAAUGACAGCGGCAGACAUUAAACACAGCCGGCUGAGCACUGAAGCAGCCCAGCAUCCUCUGGAGAGGGAACAAAAACGUGCUACAAAAGUCAAGACUCAGCCGUUAGCCUGGGUCCAGGGAUCUGUCGCUGCAGAAGGCACAGGAACCAGCUGGUGCUGAGUCUUGUGAAAUCUGGGAAAAAUGGUUUCAAUCCAUGAAAAGAAGCCUUGCUCAGCCUCUAGACGCACUGAUCCGUGGGAUUUACUUCAAAUCAUCCAAAAAGAAAAACAGAAAAAAAGAAAAAAAUCAGAUAAACCAAGAGGGUUCCGUGUGAAGCAGAAUGGGUCAUUCAUUCAAGAUGGUUGUUGAAGCUGGGUUGUGGGUACACUCGAGUUCUUUAUACUACUUUGUGAAUAUGUUAAAUUUUCACCAGAGUAAAAUCAGGAAAACUUUCUGCUGAGGGAA